UUUGUGUUGCUUACGAACAAGACACUUGUGCCUCCUCUUAAAAAUUCCUACCAUUUUUGGACCAUUGGGUCCCAUAGAAGAGCUUUGGAGGCUUUCCUCAGGGCUGCCUAAGCCCACAGGAUUUUUUGCCUUUUUCUUGCCACCUUUAUGAGGUUUCUACAUAUUGUAUAUUCACGGCACUGUCGAGCACCGCAGAAAAGAAAACCACCGAUUGAAACCUGUCCUCGGCUCAGUUCCCUUUUUCUUGCUUCUCAGCAAAAUUUUAUUGUGGUUUGCUUACACUGGAAACACUGGAGAAUUCAGUCUUCUAUUGUCGCUGCAUCCUACAUAUCGUCUCUAAACACAGGGGUUCGUUGCCCGACGAAGAAAUUAGACCGGAUAAUAUGUGAGAUUCGAUGAAAGUGUGUAGUUUUAUGGCCUGGAAGCCCGAGAAUCAAUGAAAAGUGGUAUAGUUUCGACAUAGAAAGCCUGCCAAUUAACCCCCUGUCCGUAAUCGAACAACAGAAAAACGUACGAUUGUUUCGUGAUAAUUACUGUGAACAAAACUUAACAUCUAAUAACUGCCUGGAAUUAUUUUUCUGCCCAUCCAACACAUAGUAUUAUAUAUUUCUUUUUAAAUUUUUAUAUUACUUUUCAUUUUGUGAGACAAAAUUAUAAAAUAGUUUUUCUUUAGUAUGUGCUAAUUUUGCUCGGAGUUGGUGUGAUUUUUCUAAUAGGUUUUAAAACGGGAAAAAGGUGAACAAGAAAUAUUGCAAAAUUUGCAAAAAAAAAAAAAGAAAGGGAAAAAAUCUGAAAACAUAGAAUUUAAAUAAUUAGAGUUGUGAGAGAAAAAUUUUGUUGGCAAUUCUUGUCCUUUUUUUUUUUUUUUUUUUUUUUUUUCUCCUAUUUUUUUAUUUCAUAAGGUUUUUUUUUCAUUAGUUUUUGCCGAAAUUUUGUUCAUUUCAUUCCCUUCCAUAAAGUGUUAUUUUACCUGCAAUUUAUUGUUGCGCAAAAUUCUAAAAGCAUAGCAAAGAUUUGCGAAAACAUUUUUUUUUUGGCAUGAUUACAGUGAUCCCGUUUGUUUGUUGCCAAAGAGCACAGGUUGAUACACAAUCAACAUUACA